rnacentral:rRNA from 1 species
UACGAAGGGGGCGAGCGUUGUUCGGAAUCACUGGGCGUAAAGGGCGCGUAGGCGGCCCUCCUUGUCGCGUGUGAAAGCCCCGGGCUCAACCUGGGAACGGCGCGCGAGACGGGGGGGCUGGAGUUCGGGAGAGGGGCGUGGAAUUCCCAGUGUAGAGGUGAAAUUCGUAGAUAUUGGGAAGAACACCGGUGGCGAAGGCGGCGCUCUGGACCGAGACUGACGCUGAGGCGCGAAAGCGUGGGGAGCAAACGGG